GGAUGCGAUCAUAACCAGCACUAAAGCACC
rnacentral:rRNA from 1 species